rnacentral:lncRNA from 1 species
CCUUCUGCACUUCAUGCUGUUGGGACUUUUCGAUGGCCAUGUAGGUAAGAAAAAACCCUCACGCAGAAAGCUGUUACAGAAAAUCAAAGAGGCCAUGCUUGCUUAAAUUUGAAAAAUAUCUGUAGGUUAUCUUUUCACAUUCUGCAAUUCAGUUAUUAUUAUUAUUAUAUUUAUUUUUUUACUCUUUAGGGAAAUUUAGAUGAUAAUGUAGUUUAAGUAAAACUAGAGUUCAAAACAGUUUCUUGCUUAUCCACUGCAGACACACUUAGUUUCAAAUAUAUACUUUAAGUCAGAUGUGACUAUCAAACAAGUUGGCGCAAUCUUCCUGGAGCACUUCCUCUUACAGUCUUUACAUGGGAUGGAAAUCAAGUAACAUUGAUUAAGCACAUCUAUCAAAGGUUUAUAAGUCUCCACCUCUUCCUCCUUACUGUCAGCCUGUGUCAGAUCUUAGUAUAAAGACCGUAUUAAUGUCAUGAGAUUUUCACAAACUUUACCCAUUCUCUAACUAGUAAGUGGACAUUAGGAUGGCUCCUGAUGGACCACACAACAGCUGGGCAGGUUCUUAAUUGGUCAGGGUGGUUUUUCCUCGCUGGUUAGAGGUUUAGUUUAGUUUAGUUUAGCUAGAGUUAAGUGAGUGUUACAAACAGUCAACUUAGUCUAAUUCUGCAUCAUACUUUAAUAAACUGCAUUUUUGUGAUUUGGAAAAAUAUUCUGAUGCUGUCUUUGCACAAGCGUAGCCCAGCAGUUAAACUGCAGACCCACUGAAUAAAGACAACAGUUCUUAUAACAGGUAGCCCAGGUUUGAUUUCAGCCUGCAACCCUGUACCAAAGUAGCUCGAGUUUCCAAAUCUAAUCACUUUUCUUUUCUAUAUCAGUUUUCAAGCCCCGAAAUAGACUUGGAAAAAACAGUUGUUUCUCACUUGAUUUUAGCUCUAACCUCCCUCACUGUAGCUUAAAGCUCAAGCAAAGUCCUUUCUGGAGCCCACCAAAACAGAAGCAGCAGUGCCAGGCCCCAUCGGGAGGCGGGGGGCUGCUGUGGCUGGACUCCCAGGCUGCCACUUCACAUCAUCAGACUGCAUCCCAGGGGAGGAGUCCCAAGUUUGACAGGCAGGCAUGCAGCUGAAACCACUUGAGAGGACAAGCUCAAGGUAAGUACUGGAGGAGAAGAGGAGGCUUAGCUUUCAUGCACUCGCCUAUAAUCAUUUUUAGUUCUUGCAGAUAGAGCACACAUGCACACACAAACACAUGGUGUGAGUGACGGGGACAAUCAGCUCUCACACAUACAUUGCCAAAAAACAAAGCUUAUGAGAGUGAAAAAACCUGCUGCAGAUGAUGUUGCUGCUGAGUACCAGUAGGUUGUAUAAAAGUUGACAAAAUCACAAAUAAUUUUUAAUUCACCAGCAAUAUGUUGUACUCUGAAGGGGAGAAAAAGGAGAGAGAAAAGAUAACAUGAGAGAGAGGGAGAAAGAGGAAGAGCAGGGGGAUGAGUGCUGAAAGCGUUUGGCUCCGUUCAAAUAGUUGCCAUGGUUUCUAGAUGUUUCCAUGGAAAUGCUAGCUGCCAAUAAAAUGAAUUUGAGGAGAAUCUUUGCGGCAGGUUGGCAGGAAGGUGAGAGCAUGGCGCAGGAGAUGGGGACAACAGAGUUGAGAAUGGGGGGUGGGGGCUGGGGGGGCUGGGUGGCUGGGGCUUCAUUCGCUUUCCUAAUGCAGCACUUAGUUGCAUGCAUGGAUAAAUGACGGGGGGUGGACAGGGUCAGGGGAGAAUUUUGGGUAAACAAGGGAGGAAAAACAUGCACAGAGGAUGGGUUGUCAUAGUAACCGUAGGCGCACAACAGAGUGCAGGAAAAUACAUAGCAGCUUGACUUGCAACGGCUUAACGUGUGUCACAAUUGUGUCUGUGUUUGCAGACAGAUUGAAUGACCUGGUGGUCAGAUAGCACACAGGUGUGUGACAGGUGGUUCUUUUCUUUUUUUUUCUGCAUAAAAACUCAAUCAGAAAAUCUUUCCAUUGACAGUUUUUUUCAUUUUAUUUCAGGGCCGGAGAAAAGAGCUUAAUGUGUAAUCAGAGGCACUGACAAUAAUGCAAAUGUGUUAAUACAUGUACACACACGUUUCAGAGCACCCUGUUUCAUACUGGAGCUGCUCUUCUAGAGCUUUAAAAAGGUUCUCCUACUCGCUCGGACAGUGAACAAGUGCUGCUCCUCUAACCGUCUGAUCCUCCUAACUCUACUCUCCUUCUUUUUAUCCUUCCCUUUUUUCAAACAUUUAUUUCAUUUUCUCCUUCUCAGGUUCCUUCACUACUUCUAGAUUGAGCAAAAUAAUGAAAAGCAUAUUUUGCUCUAUCCAGUUUUCGUCCUUCUCUCUCUUUCCUUUCACUCUGUCCUGCUUCCUUCUUUUUCUCUCUCUCUCUUUCUUGAUAUUUCCCCCAUACCUGUACUCCUUUUGCGUCUACCUUAUAUCCGUCUUUAUUCUCUCAAUUGAUUCUCUGUACAUUUUUUUAUUUCCAUCCUUUUUCUUCUUUAUGGGAGGAUGGAGGGGGGAACAAGUUUGUUUAUUUCUUCUUUAUAUCUUCCUUAUGUUCCCUCCCUCUCCUCUGUUCUCUCUCUCUCCCUUCUUAGUUUUUUCCACUCCCUUCAGUCCUUUCUUUUUCCUUCCUUCUUUCCUCCCUUUCUUCUCUUUAAACUGUUCUUUCGUCUUUCCUUCCCCUUUUCUGUCCUUUCCGACUUUAUUCCUUAUUUCGUUCAUACUGUCUGUUUUUCAAUAUUUCUUCUUUCUCUUCCUUCCUCCUUUUAUCCUUCUUCUAUUCUUUCCUUCCUUUUCUUCUUUUUCCCUCCUCCCCAUGACCUUUUUUCAUUCCUUCUCGUUUCCCUCCUGUUUUACACCCUUUCUUUCUCCUAAUUUACUUAAUUCUGACUGUCUUUUUCUGUCUUUAUUCUCCCUCCUUUUUUCCCCCAUCUCUCCCUCCUUUCUUUUUUAUUUACCCUUACUUUGCUCCUUUCACGUCCUGGUUUUCUUCUGUCUGUCUGCCUUUUCUCAUAUCUUCUUUCUUCAUUUCCUAGCUUCCUUCUGUUUUUCUUUCUUUUGUCAUUACUUUCUAUCUUUCUCCACAUCCUUACUUCCAACUGUCAAUCCUGUCCAUUUUGACAUCUCUCAUUCAUUCCAUCCUUGUUUCCUUCCUAUCAUUCCUUCUUUUUUUGCUUCCUCCUCCAUGUCUUAAUUGAAGUCCUUCCUUUCUUUAUCCCUCAAUUCAUACCUCCUGUAUUCCAACCUCUCAUCCUUACUUCCUUUCUUCCUUGCACAUUUGUCUCACUCUCUCUCUUUCUCUCUCUCUGAAGGACAGAGGUAUUCCCACAUUUCUUGGUUGCUAUGGUAACGCUGCAGCAAGAAAGAAAGAAAGAGAGGCCACAAGAGGAAAAGGGGGUUGGUGUUGGGGAUGGCUGGGUGGAGGGGUUGUUGGGUGGUGCAAAGGGUGGUGAGGAGGGGUUGAGGAAGUGUGAACAAAGCUAAUGCUACUUUACUGAUCAUGGAUUGCGCAUCUAUCCCUUUUUCCUCCUAUUCCAAAACUAGAACCCCCCCCACACACACACUUUUGUUCUUCGCUUUUUAUUUUGUCUCACUCUAUCCAUCCUUAAUACUUCUGUGCUCCGGUCGGCCUCUUUUUCCCUGUGGUUUUAAAACUCAAUCUUCUUGCAGUGCUGUCAUUGUUAUCAUUGUUAUUAUUAUUGGGUCAUUUAGCAGGCAACGUUGGUAUCCACAGCAACCCUGAGAAGUGGCACCAGCUCCUUGGUGAAUACCAAUAUAGACAAGCAUCCAUCAAUAUCCCAGUGACUCAUUAUCAGUCUAAUGGUGAGAUCGUUGCUGUCACACCAGACUAUAAAUAAUGCCGUCUCAUUAGGCACCACUGCUUCCUAUGUAAACAGGUCAUGUUCCAGGCAGGCAAAGGGUGUGUGGACCCUGCAUGGUUAGCCAAGUGGGGAGUUUUCUGCUUGCAUUUAGCAGCAGGGGGUUGAAAAUUGUACUACUAGAUGCUGGUGAGUUUGCACGAGCUGUGGCAGAGGCAGCUGCAUCAGUGUCUGACUCAGGGGGCUGACUCAAUAAAAGCAUGUAGUGGAGUAAAUAAGGCUCACACACUCCCUCACAUAGGUGUGCACAGCUGCAGGCUCUGCCCCCUGUCUACUGUACACACACACACACACACACACAAACUCGGGCAAUCCUGCAGGACUGCAGUGGCUGCUGCUACUCCCUAUCAGUCCUUCGCUGGAGCUAAUCGAUAAUAUCAAGCUGCUGAUGAGACCAAGAAAGUAAGGAGAGAGGGAGUAAUUCACCUCCACCGUUGUCUCUGUGCCUCAAGUCAUUACUGACACUACUCCCAUCAUUUAGCGCUGCAGCAUGAAGAUGGAGGGGAGCAGUCGCAGGGGUGACCAUGUGCACAAGCAAAGGUUGCACAGGUUAAAAAACAUUUUCACAAAAGCGUGUCAAGCCAGUCAAUUUACCUAGGAGAAGACAUGCACGCCAACUUCAUGAAACCAGGAGACAGAAUGAAGAGGAAGUGCAAGUUUAGGGGUGAGGCAGAGUCUGGUGCAUGUCAAUCAUUGCUAAUGUGUAAGAAACCUGAGAGGACUCAUAAUGUUGGAGGAUUACACAACAAGUCCCUGCAUAUUGAUUGCCUGUUUGCUGUAUGAUAAUGUAUUCAUCAUAGCACUGUGUUUGUUUGUGCAGAUUGUCUCUUGGUUGUUCUGCUCUGGUCUGGAAUGCAGAGAUGGAUAUUCCAGAUAUCAGGCCCUAAUCUCUAGACUCAAACGCUAUACUUCAAAUCAGGAUUGAAGCAGCUCAGUGGAAAAAGCUGGACAUAUGCCUAUUGCAGAGGUGUGGACUAGAGCAUAUGAUACUGCCGUAUCACAAGUUAACACUGGCACCCCCUUAAAGAGCUGUUUUUUUUUUACACGCACACACCUUGGCUGGUGGACUGGUGCUACGUUGGUGUCUUCACUCCUGUCUGUGAGAACAUAUGCUUUCUCUCAGGAAAAAAAAGACAUCUCUUCAUGGAUAGUUGUGCGUGAAAUAGUGUCCCUGGGUGAAUCCUUGUUAUAAAUUACAUCUUGUGUUGUUUGCUGGAUUUUUUCGACCUUCUCCCGGGAUGACAUAUUUUUCUGCUCUGUCUAACUGCAAAACUGCCGGUGCCGUACCUGCCCUUGUAUGUGAGCCUCAAGUGCCUCGAGUGUGCAGGUUUUUCAUUCUGAUGGUGGGCUUAACGGCUAAAUAAGUUAUACCCUGAGUCUUGUCGAAGUAAACGUCCUUUUGUUCAGGAUGACCAACAUGCAAAGGUUCCCUGACUCCCACAAACUCCUCCAGCUAAAUUAAUAUCUGACAGCUAAAAAAAAUUUCCCCCAUGGGGGAUCAAUAAAGGAAUAUUCUAUUCUAUAUUCUAAGAGUCGCACAAAUCUCAGAAAGUAGUUUUUACAAUCACAACAAACAUUGGAGUUUUUAACAUGAACAUACCCUCUAUAGCUUUACACAGUUCCAAAUAUAGUGAGUAAAAUCAAGUCUUUUUGUUCAAUAAUGAGUUGCAAAAUGUCCUUUUCGAUGAGUUCAUUUCUCAACUAAACAGAAAAGCAUGUUAUCAUUAUUAUUUUUUAUCAAGUUUAAUCUUUUUUUUUCACCUGAUUUAUCAGAGUUUUUCAAGAGUGUGGGUGGUAAAACAGGAAAACAUUUACAGCUACAUUGAGUGUACAUAGAAUUAAAAUGAUAAAGUAGGGCUGCUCAAUUAAUCAAUUUUACAUGUUAAUUGCAUUAUUUAAUGAUGACAAUGUUAGAAAUAUUAAAAUUGUCAAAUCAGUUUUUCUCUCUAUCAUGUCUCCACCUCCAGGUCACCAUAGGCUCCCCCUUCCUGCGGGAGUGCUCCCCAGUUCCCACACACACCAGUGUAAAGAAACAUGACGUUUGCAAAAGAGGGUGAUAAUUUCGUGGCGAAGAACAAACCACUCCCCAAUGCAAAGUCUGUCUGAAGGCGGUGUUUCAUCCACAUGGAAACGGUGUUUUGAGUGACUGUAAACGGUACUUUUUGAAAACAGGUCAGAGAGUGCAUGAAUCUGUAAACGACUACCAUUUCAUCUCCGUGUGGUUGUCUAUCUGAACCCAUCUGGAAACGAUUAUGUGACACACAGCGUAGUUCUUUUAUGGUGCCUGUGCUUGUCAACCUUUAUAAACAACCUUAAAACAACAACCUUUAUAUGCAUGAUCAAUAUCUUUACUCUUCUUCUGCCUUUUUUGCAUUUCCUGUGCAGGGUUACAGCGCCACUUACUGGCUUGCGCUACAUCAUUUUCAGUGGUUUUAUAUUGAGAGAUGAUAGAAAAAACUUUUUAUUCAAGUGAAGUUUGGUGAAGUUGUGACUGAAUAAAAAAAAUGAAAUCGAAAUCUAAAAUAGAGUUUUCAGAGAAAAAACAUCAGGUUUUUAUUUUUGGCCAAAAUCGGGCAGCCCCGUGAUAAAGAUGAAGUUACAUUUCUUGUCUCCACUGUUGUAGUUUUAAGCUUCCGAAAUAGAGGACACAGCGGACCUCUGCAUUGCAAACACGUUUGGAAGUUGGCCCUAUGUUGAUAUCAGAUGUUUCAAGGAAUUAAGUUACAAAAGCGUCUCCUUGUUUCCUUUUAUCAAGUUUUAUCUAAAAAAUUUUUUUUAAAAAGACAUUCCAUGUUAGAUAAUAAAAAUACAAACAGAAGUCAACUUCUGACCUUGUGUGCACCAACAUGUUUAACUGCACACGUGCAGAGCUACGUGAUUGAAAUGGCAACAUUUAUAAUUAACUUUGCAAUUCAUGAAAUAAAACUGUCUGUACAAACUAUUUAGGGUUUUGGAAAAUUCGUGUUGGUGAGAUGAUGGACAUCAUAUACAAAAAAAAAAAUACAAGAAAACGGCUGAGAUGAAAGGUAAAUAUCAACCUGGGCAACUUUGGCUGUGUCUGCCAGGUACUCUUGGUGUCUGAUGGUGCUACAGAGCUAAAGAUGAAGGCCACCAAACCAAAGUCAUGUAACUGGAACCCAUAAAUUGGCAAUAGGCAUAGUUGGGCUGCUGUUAAGCCUCUCUGUCCCAAGAUCCUUGCACAUUGAGCAAACAGUCAGCAGUUGGCAGGACUAAGCAGCAAGUUACAGGUUUUCAGCUGAGUUUAUGAAUGAUCAUUUAAAUUUAAAUAUCUUUAUUAAUUAUAUUGUCAGAGUAGACAAGACCUUGAAGCCCAUAAAGCCAAACUAAAGAAAGUUAAGUAAGUUUGAUUUUAAACAUGAGCUCCUUCAUUCUGUGUCCAUACUGCUGUAGUCAGCAGGGGUCCGUUUCACGUAGGUGGUUCAACAAACUCUGAGUUAAAUCCUUAACUCUGAGUUGAUCUACUCUGAGUUAGGAAACUCUGAGUUUCCGGUUUCACAACGCCUGAUUUGAGACGGUUUUAACAACUCCGAGUAGUUUGACCUGGAGUUAAGCACGUGCACGCCAGACAUAAACAGCCAGCAUCUGUGGAGCGCAGAUUCAAUGAUCAACCAAUGGAAACAGGGAGAAGGAGGGGGCAGCAGCAAGCCAACAGCGAAUUACAGCACGUUUUUAAAAGAAAGUGCAAUACAGCAGCAGCUGCAAAGGAGAGGGAGAGGGCAUGGGAGGAAGUCGCUGCUCGCGUCAAUGCGUAACUUUAAAUCUAGUCUCGUGCAAUCACAAUGACAGACUGUUGCAGGGAAACUGCUUGAAUCAUUUUGAUCAUGUUUUACAUUGUCAAGUAAGUAUUAAGUGGCAGUUUGAUCCCUUAGAAAAUACUCUUUUCACACUCAAAAAUGAAUUUUACUCUCUUAUGAUGUUCCGUUAAAUGAUUAGGAAUAUUAAACUAACUCUCAGUAUGUAUAUGUACAUAUAUUAAACUAACACACACUACACUCAAUAUUAGACUUUCACUCAGCAAAGAGAAAGAGGGCAGAUGCCAGAAAAACGGGUGAUGGCCCAGCAGCCCCACCUUUAACGGAGGCAGAGGAGCUGCCCCCCCCCCCCCCUUCGACGAUCGCAACCCCCACCCCGUAGCAGCGAUCGUCGGACUGGUGUGCGUGUGUGUCUGUGGGGGGGGAUUUGCGAUCGGACCGGCCGCGAUCGUCGAACGGGGGUGGGGGGGCAGCUCCUCUGCCUCCGUUAAAGGUGGGGCUGCUGGACCACCACCCGUUUUUGUGUUAGUUUAAUAUUCCUAAUCAUUUAACGGAACAUAAUAAGAGAGUAAAAUUCAGUUUUGAGUGUGAAAAGAGCAUUUUUUAAGGGAUCAAACUGCCACUUAAUACUUACUUGACAAUGUAAAACAUGAUCAAAAUGAGAAAAUGCCGAUGUCUCACCUGAAACUCUGGGUUUACUGAGUUAAACCUGCUCCCGAGCAGGUUAGGUUCACGGAGUCUGUUACUGUGGUAACUGACCGCGAGGUUGAGUUACCUCUCUUCGUGAAACAGGUUAGAGUUACCCCUCUCUCCCUGGUUUAACUAACCCUCCUUUGUGAAACGGAAAACUCAGAGUUUCCCUGAUUUCAGGGUUAACAAACUCGGAGUUUCCACUAAACCUGCUACGUGAAACGGACAGCAGGUCUGUUUGAUUUCAGGAAAAGAAGACCUCAGUGACUAAUUUGGCUUCCACACACAACACUAUGCAGAUCAUUUUCAGACUGUUCGAGAAAUAACAACCUGUCGCAUUUCGGCUUCUGGGGUGCUCUGUGUAUGCUGACAUAGCUUAAUAAAAAAACAAAAUAGCGGAUAUUAGACUGACAGAAAAUGUAUUAAUUCUGGGUCUUCUCCACAGAUGAUCCACAUUGUUGUGCAAGUGAAAAGAAAUGCCAGUCUCCUCCCACUGAUGACACCCUUAAAUUAACUUAAUCAAAUUUAAGGAUUCAUGAUCAUUACAAAUGAAGCCAAAUAUUUUUUUAAAGCCUCGCAGGCUUUUUAAUUUUCAGUGCCCGCUGCCAACCAUGUGUCCUUUAAUCUGUGAAACAUCUGAAAAGCAAAGAUUUUCACACCCCGGUGACAAUUUGUGCCACCUUGAAGCAUGUGUGCAUGUAACAGCGCAUGACACAAAAGCGAGCUGCACAUAUGUUACCGCGGCAUGCGUGGGUAUGCUGCCUUCAUACAGUAUGCAAGAUGUGUCAUAGGUUGUACGUGUCAUCCUGUCUUCUCUGUCUCUCUAUCUCUCUCUCUCUGAGUCGCAUUACCUCUCCCCUGCAACCUGCCUUCUAAUCAAUAACUCAUCUCUCCAUGUCGAUUCCCCUCUACCCCCACAGGAAAACAAAUGUCCUUCCACAGGACAAACAAAGAGAGGGGAGGAUGAUGAGGCGAUGGAGGGAGGUACAGAGGUAGGCAGAGAAUCGGGGAAAUACUGUAAAUCCAGCGAAAUAGGUAAAUAGCCUGUUGCAGUGGAAGGGACAGAGUAAAGAAACAGCAAGGUUGAGAGAGAGGAUUUGAAAGGGUGGCUAUUGGAUGGAUGAUUAGCCCCCGUCUCCAAGGUUACACUUUACAACUGUAUCACUGCGGAGCUGGAGGGGAGGGGGGUGGGGAGUAGGGAUGUUGAAGGGUGACAUGCACCGUUCAUCACACAGGGCUGAAUUAAAGAAGACAGAGGCAGGUUUUUUUCAGCUCUGACCUUCACAUAAAGAACUAGCGCCGGCCUUGACCUCCAGACAGAGCAGGGAAUAGUGCUGCUGCUGCCGCCACUGCAGCAGCAGCAGCAGCAGCAGCCAGCAACAACAACAGCCAUGCCGACAACGCAGGAGCACCAGAGCAGAAAAGCGCAGACAAUCGGCAGCACUGAGGAGAGUGACAUGCGACAGGCCCCAGAAGGGGAGAAACGGGGUGGAGGAAUCGUUUAGAUUCCAGCCAACUGAAAGAAUUGGCCUUUUCACGAGAACAGGAGGCAGAAAACGGGAACUUGUUUGUUACUUUAGGACCUCCCUCUCCUCCACCCUUUCCUCAAAUCCUCAACCCUGUCCUACUGUUUGUAUAUAACCCCUUGACGGGAACCUUCCCCAAACUUAACUAUUUUAACCUAAGCAAGCUGAGCAAGAAAUAGAGCCUUGUGAUUGAGUUGCAUGCUUUAGCAUCCCUGCAGUCGGUUCUAAUCCUAAGUGCGUACUUGCUGCUCUACCCUUGAGUCAUGUAGAAUCUAGAGUCGGUGAGGUGAAAAUGAGAAUUGUUAGGUGGUUUUGCAUAAUCUAUUCAGCGCGACCGUUGGCUGCCCCCUUGGUAGCAUGUAUGAGAGACGGAGGUGGUGUCGCAUCAGCAUUUUAAAGUUCCAACAUGAGUCCUGGAGAAAGUGCCUGUGCAUUUUCCACAAUCUGAUAACCUUCCAGCGUGUGUAGAAACUCAAGCAACUAUGCAGGGGAUAUGUCACCACUUUUUAAAGUAUGCUAAUAUGAAUCACACACUGCUCAUGUAAUUCAAACCUGUUUGCUUUAGCCUGGGUUGUGCACAGACAUCAUGCAAAGCAGGACAGUGUUGUUUGCAUUUUGUCUUUUUUUGCAGCUUCUCAUGUGCACACCCACACAAAGGCUGGAGGAGUAAUACAUAACGUGUAACUGGAUUACAAUAAUCUGAUUACAGAAUUUACUGAAUUUUUGGAGCAACAAAAGAUGAGCUAAAUUGCUAGAUUACCAGCUUUGGAUAAAACAGAAAAAAAAAAUUCUUCCUGGUUUACAUGUAAAAGCUAUUUGAAGGAAACCAGGACAGUUAAGACUUGGACAACAGUGUUUCUGAUUGAAUACUGUCCACAACAUUGUAAAACUGUAUGUCGAUUUGAGUCCACACAUUAUUUACUGGGAUGAGCAAUCAAGUCUUGAAUUUUCUACUGACCCAUGUACUGGAGUGAUUACAUUUUUCAUACAAGCAAAGUAAUGACUGUGUCGAUGCAGAGCUCCUUCUGAGUUCUUUUCAGUGAAUAUAAAUUUCACAGUAAGUGUCAAGUCCUCAUGGGAAAAUCCAAGUCAAGUCAUCACUCUCCACUAAGCAGUCAUUUGCAAGUGUCUGAAAAAGACCCAUUAAAAAUUCACAGGCCUUAUUUUUAGAUGUAUGUCUCUAGGAACUGCAAAGUCGGUCUAUUAGUCAGUCCACCACUUUUAAAACCCCAAAUCUCAACAAUCUCAACAGCUCGGAUGCCUGAUGGAUAAAUAUGAAUGUUUCUGAAGGAAAUCUUUUGGGGGAUGAAGGGAAAUGCCCUGGCUAUACUCAGACUUUUCCUUUUUAGGGUGCUUUUAAAAACUGUUAACAUUUCUUCUUGUCCAUUACACCGGCUUUGACAGAGGAUCAGCAAAGCGAAAUAAAAGCUGAUCUAUGUGCUGCUAUUAAUUCUGUUUCAUUUAUAAUGCACUGACUUACAGAAAAACUUUGAACUAGGUUUGUUCAUUUAUACGUUAUUGGGUUAUUUUACUCUCAGCUUAUUGUCUAUUGAUUAUCAGUGCUGGUGUAGGUACGAGAUGUGUUUGGGCUGCCAGAUCGGCUUGGGGCCUGGUGCCUAUAGAUGACCUCACGCUAUAUGAUUGUCUGAAGGUUGGUUCAUAUGACGUUGAAGAUGGUGGUUGGUCCAGACAUUACAGGAGUGGUUUUCACUGGAAUAGGUUUCAUGGCAUUGUAGUUUCGGGCGAAAACAUAGAUGAAUUUUACAAAGCAAUCUAUCGCUACUUAUCAAAGGGGGGCUUACGACAGCCGGACUACCGCCUCUUUUAGGUUGCCAACGGAAAUGACUGCAAGCAGCUGCUGGAAGAGAGUAGGUGAGUUGUGUUUCGUCUCUUUGCUAAAGCAGUUAGGCAAAGCUAAAAAGAUGUUUGGUGGCUAGUACUAUGGCUGGCCACCUACAUGUACUGCUGAUGAAGUUAGGUGCUGUUCUGAGCAUUAUUUGUGGCUAGAGAGUGGCAUUUUGGUUGAGGUUUGUGCGUGGCUCUUUAGACCGCUGUGUGUUGCUAUUGUGCGGUCGUUACUAAAAUUGGUAUAACUAGAGAAGCAAGCGGUGGGCUACAUUAAUCUCUCGAGGGGUUGUCUAACUCGGCGUUUUGGUGUGUUUGACCCUAAAUUUAUUUUACGCCGGAAUAUUCCUUUAAAUCACACAGUGAGACACACACACAUAGACACACAAACAAAGAGUUGAUAUCUGUUUCGUAUCGCUGCUCGUGCCCAGCUGUCAGCAGGUUUGUCUGCUGAUUUGUUCUGAGGGCACGCCACUGAAAUAACAUCUCACACUCUCAGAGUGCAAAGCCUUUGAGCUGAUUGACGGAUACUUAACUGCCAGAGCUUCAGUGUUUAAAUAGAUUAUCUAAGCAAAGGAGAAUCAAUGUAAACCCAUCCAAUGACACUAUCCAGCACCCCCCUACACAAACAUACACUCACACACCAUCGUUGAAACCAAGAGUCAGUUGCGUUCAGAAACCGACCUCUUGGCAAACCCAACCAGCACAAGCUAAGUAUUAACUGUCAGCUAAACAGCAGCCCACAUACAAGACACACGCACAACCAUUUGAAUACACACAAACACGCACAUGAUCAGUCUUGGGGCGCAGGUGGAGGUCAGCCACUCGGGUCAGGAUACAGAGCCUGCAGCUAGCUGGUCUGUAGUGUUGGUGUCAAAUCAGCUUUAGCACACUGACACAAUGCCUUCAAACACACACACACACACACACACACACACACACACACACUCACACACACACAAACACACACACACACUUCUGCAGCACACUAGAAAAGGAAAAAAAGAAACUGAUAUAAAGAAGAAGUGCAGGCUCUAUGCGAAAAAAGCGAGACAAGAGAGAACAUACACAUCUCCAAUUUACACCACACACACGCGCGCACACACACACUUUUAAGCAGAGAAAUAAACAUUGGAUUUCCGCUCUCAUUUAAUAUAGACCCAUGUUGAAAAAAUAAAGCAGCCCAAUCUGACUUUGAAUUUUGUGAAAAAAUGUUAUUUUUAUUUCAUAAAUUUCUCAGUAUGGCACAUGAACAGAGAUUGAAUGUUCUGAAAAGAUUUGGCACAGAACCUUGAAGCAGAACAAAUCCACCCUCCUCCAUCCACGCACACAUACACACACACUCUCUAUUUCACAUGUUCCUCCAGUGUUAAUACGUACAUCUGUGGUUAUAACAGGUUAAAACACAGUCUUUAGAAACAAUCACAAGAACAACCAUAGUCAAUAUUGCAGAAGAGAAGCCUAAGCGAAACAAAAAAGCAGAUGGAGGCCAUGUUUAAUUGAACAGAGGGAAGGAAGUAUCAGAAGCCUUGUUUUUUGUUAUUGUUGUUGGGUUGGUUUUUCCAUUUUCCUGAGAGGGGAUCAGCUUGAUGCAGGGACUAACAGGAGCGUGAGAGAUUGUCUGUGUGUGUGUGUGUGUUUGUGUGUGUGUGUGUGUGUAUGUGUGCUUGUGUUUGUGAGGAUCAUGGGGUUAAUACAGAAUCACAAGUUGACAUCUAGCUGCAGGGUAGUGAAAAAUGGCAGCAGGAAAAGGUGGGAGGGCUUAAACUGGAAGCGUGAGGUAGAUAUAGAGGAGCGGAGGAGGGAGAACGGGCGGGUUAAGGGGAUGAGGAGCACAAGAGGAGGAAAAGGAGGGGAUUUAAUGCAAGAGGUACUCCUGUGAGUUAGCGAGCGAGCGAGUGUACGAGUUUGUGUGUGAGUCAGAGAGAGUUAGAGAUGGAGAGGGAGGGAGAUUUGGGGAGAGGGAGAGGCUGUGGUGAAGGUUUUAGCUACAUUUCUGAAGGAGAGGGUGAGAAAAAGGCAGAGAAGCAGGAGAAGUCAGCCAUGCUCCUCUCUGUUCUGGGUUGGGGACAGAGAGGAGUCAUUCCCCCUCCGGCACCGGCUGACAUAUAAGCACCAUGGCGGCCUCCUUCCUCCUCCAUGUCUUUAUCUCUGCCGCACACAGAUACACAAAACAGAUACUGCGCGCACUCAAGUGCACACAAGUAUGCACGCAAGCCACUCGGACGUAUGCAUAAAUAUGCAUACUUAUGCCUCUCAUGCAGAUACUACACAGACACACAAGUGCACUGAGCCGGGGCCCCCGUGUGUGUCAAAUAUAUCACACACAUGCAGACACACUCACACACAGACAAAACCUACAAAGAUAUAGAGUGACAGGAUGCUUCUCAUUGUCAUCUUUCAUUCUUCCUGCCAUCAUCACAUCUCUUUUCAAUCUAUCUCUCCUGUCUUUCUCUCUAUUUCUGUCUCCCCUCGUCCUCCCCUCCUUGUCUCUCUCUUUCCUUCAGGCACAAAGGGGUGGGAGACCCUGAGGCGGCACAGAGGCUCCACUGCCGGAUGGACCUGGCAAACGCACAUCAACUAUGGCUGAAACACAAAGGAGGCCGCUGCAGUGUCUGCUGAAUGUCACGUUUAAAAGCAUUAGAGGGGGACUAUUAAAAACGUGAAUUUUGGUUUCAUACAGACUGGGAGCAGAAAUGGGAGCAGACAUGAAAUGAGGGUAUUAAGGGCCAGACUGUGUGAAUAAAUCAGCACCGAUGAGAUAAAAAAAGAGACAGUAUGCCUCACUUGGCUGACAUGAGGGGGUGGAGACAAACAGGGUAAAGAAAAAUCAAUAACUGCAGUAAAAUGUUGAUUUCAUAUUGAUGAGUUUACAACUGUUUUUUUUAAGAAAACUUGUUUCACUUUGAGGAUGCUGGAGGUCAGAUUUAAAGCUCGGCUCAGGAGGCUUAUAUGGGUCAGGCUGGAUCUGUGCUCUGGUUGUUGCUUUCUGAUCACAACUUCUGACCCUCAGGUGGGAGCAGAGUAAUAAACAGUUUGUGCAAGAUUAAAGGAUUGCAAGUGAAUUUUAUGAAAGAAGAACUACAAACUCUGGAUUUUUUACAUGUAAGCAUAAUGCCCGUCAACACAAGGGGUAAAAUACCAGCUCAUUGGACAUAUGACACGUUGGAGAAAUAAAAUAAUGUUGCACCAACUACAACUGCUGGCAGCUCCGCUCAGUGCCUUCUCAGUGAUCAUCCCCAAGAUCAUUGGAGACUGAGGGACUAAUUUUGAGACUGAACCUUUAUUUUGGGAUCUCUUUUAGGGAAGAGGAGACCUUUGUGGAAAAUUGUACUCAUGCAAUCCUGACCCCAAAAAGGCCAAGUUCUUUACAAACAAGCUAAGGGAAUAUAAGCUCCAGCUUUGCUGGCUUCUCCUCUUGGCAUCAAAGAGACACGUUUUUGACAGUUCAUAUGACAGGGUUUGUUGUUUAUGGUGAGAUGGAGAGUUCGCUCACGCAGUAUUACAAUCUUUGUAUGAAAUAAACCUGAAUGCUCUGCAUUGUGCAGUUCAGGUUUGGGUGAUUUGUUAUUAGGGUCAGGUUCUUGUCUUUAAGGCUCCAGUCUGUGCAUGUGUCACACACUGCAGUGUCCUUGUGUCACUAGUGUGGGCUUUAUGCAAACUUGAAAGCUCUCCAUAUUCCUCUCUAGAGCCAUACCAUGACACCCUAACAUACCUCUGAGUUGGACAGAUGUCGAUGCAUCUGUUGUGAUGAUCCAGUUUGUGGAGGUAACAGCUGUACCUCAUUCUUUGUCUACUCAUACAGUGCAGGUAUGCAAGUUGGUAAGUUAGAGCUUGGUGAAGGACUUGGGAUCAUUUCAUGGGAACCAGAAUUUCCAACCGCACUGUAUGAUAGUAUUACAGAUAAAUCUGGCAACUGUUAUUGUAACUUAAGCACUUGCUGAGAUUUGGCCAGUGUCUGGGUAAAGAUGUUGGCAUAUCUGUUACUUUUUCCAGGGCAGCUGGCACUGCUUUUGCUUUGGGAACAGAACUGGUAGCUCUGUGUUUGAUGCUGAUACCAUGCUGCCUUCAGAGGUAAGUGAAGAGAUUGGUAGUGUUGUCAGCGCAGUCUUCAACUCUGUAUACUCUGCAAACAGCUGCUGGUUUAUCAAGGAGGCCUUCCGUUCAUAGAAGCCAAAAUCUGUCCAAACUUAUGACUUGUAACCAGACAAAUUGAUAAUCUCAAGUUUCUCUAGCUCCUUCCUUAUUAGCUGUCAACUGAGUUCAAGUCCAUCUAAUCAAUCUCUGUGACCUACGUCUCUCAACAUCUACUUUGGGGUCAGUCUGCAACCCCAGUUCCAAAAACGUUGCAACAUUGGGUAAAAUGUUGAAAAGCUUUGAUGAAUUUAAAAUCAUCUAAAUUCUAUAAUUUACUCAAAAUCCUGCAAAGAUAAGUCAGUUUGUGAUACUGAAAAAUGUACUGUGUUAUGAAAAAUUUGGAUUUUAUUUCAAAUUAAUGGACAAAGGGGCCAGCGUGCUUAAAUUAAAAAGUUCUCAAAGUCACUUGGGGUCCAACUUGAGGCAAACACUCUAAAUGAAAAGAUGUCAGUACUGACAAUGAAGUUUAUGAUUUAAAAAAAUGAAGAUAAAGAUUGACCGAAGUUUUAAGAAAUAAACUGCAGUCUGUCUUUGUCUGUAUUUUUUAACGGUCUAUCAUAAAUCUUAAAGCUUAAAGGCUAAAACAUACAGGAUCCUUAUUGAGUGCGUAACGUCAGCAUUGUGUAUUUUGCAGCAAAUAGGUUGCCAUUAUAAUCAAUGCAGCAUCGCAUACAGGGUGCGUAUCAGCUCUGUAUCAGAAGUGCAUCGAGAGCAGCACUGCUAUAGACGGGUCUAUUUUUGCUGCUCUACGCUUCCAAUGCAUGUGAAUCUACACAGAGACGAUCGUUCAAGACAGGAAGUCAAGCACGAAAAACCACGCAUGACAUCAGGUAUUUUAAAAUAAAACACCCUAUGCGAGCUCCCGACUAUGUAUUAGUUCAUGUAGAUGAGAAAUACUUCCUGGUUGUGGAUUUAUCAGUAACACAGAACAAUCUGAUGGUCAAUCCCUGAUAAAUGUGGACCCCAACAGGACUUUUAACGGUUAACUCUGUCUGAAGGUAACAGCACAGUAUAAAGGAACAUAGUUUACUUUAUUAAACACAAGUAAACCUGCAAAAAUCCAAACUGUAAAAUCACAUUGCUUUUUCACAUAUAGUAGAAGCUCAACAGUCACUUAAUUAUAACUAAAUUAGCAGGAAAUAGAUCACAGAAAGGCAAAACAACCUGUUGUGAGCAUGUUGUUUCCUCUAUACUGAGCCAAGCUGACCGGGGCUGCACUACACUGUUGCCAAGCCCCAAAUAGGCAUCCUGUAUUUGAUACCCAGGGCUGCUCUAAGGAGCAAAUACAGAUCGUGCUCAAUAUGGAUCCUGUAUGUUUUCAGCUUUAAAGAAAAAGAAAACAGGCAUAAUUCAUCCCGGUUAGAACUUCAUUUUUGAGGAGCUGUAGUUGUCUUUGUAGUUUACAGGUUUGUAUUAUCUUCACUUUCAGAAAGUAAAAUUUUUAAAAAGGGAUGACAUGGUAAUAAAUGGCAUCGUAAUAUUUAAAGUCAACAACACAAACAGAUCUGUCUCUUUAUUUUUAUUACAUCAAAUAUCAUAAGAAAUGCUGAUAUUCAUACAUAUAGAACAAAUACAUUGUGGUCAUAAUUUUGGCUGUAUUGUCCAGCCCUACCUUGCUCCUACGUUUGACCUCAUGCUCUCCCACGCUCCUGCUGAUAGAUCCUGGUUGGACAGCUCUACUAUCAAAACCAGCAGCUAAUAUCCAUAUGUCUGUUUUUGUCUCCUUCCUCUCCCAUAAGGUGCUCCAACCAGACCUAAAUUUAUACUUCAAAGCAGUGAACUGUACUCUGUGGCCUGCACCCAGCUUCAAACAAACAUCACACACUGCAGAAGUGCGAUCAUGAUGCCGAGCCAAAAUGUCCAUAACCAGUAAAUCUGAGAGUAGGACCGCUGUGUGCAUUUUGGAACCUAACAGCCAGCAUGUCCCUGUGAGGAGGAGAGCACUGCUGCUGCUGCUGCUGGGUCAGCACUAACUCCAAUAGUCCGGGACAGUCAAGUCGAAGUCCCAGAGUCCUGAAGAGGACUUUUUUCUUUUUCUUUUUCUUUUAGGGCAUGGAGAUGCUCCAGAAGGGUGUCUUAACCCGGCAGAUUGUUUCCAAAUCUGUGUUUGAAAGGGACUCUGGCUGCUUGCUUAAUGUCAAUAUCAGCUUUUUUCCAAGAAUCCCUUUUGAACUUUACCCCAUGGGGCUCUGAGCUGGUUUUACCAGAGCCAGGAAGAGUUUUCAUAUUCAAAGGGAAAAAAAAUUAAAUUACUGCACAGAUGCUCAGAGAUGCAGUUAGAAAGUUUUCACAUGACGACACUGAUAUCCUCCUUUAUAAAGCAUUCAUGAGCUCACUGUUAAGCAGAGCUCCCACUUUACUAUUCCCAUUAAUCGCUACUUUACAAUUACAUGAGCUGUGAGCGUGUCCCAUUUUACUAUUUUCACUGACUGUGUGGAUUUUCCUCAGCUGCUGAUCACAGACCCUGCCAACCCACAGCUGAGUGACACACACAAGAUAGUUAUCUGGGCUGAGAUGCCACUCAUCACUCUCACAUCACAGCCCACACACACUGACAAGCCCCACCGUCCAGUUCCACGCAGCUCAACACUUACAAGGCCAAACCAAAACGGACAUCUUAUGACCACCGACACGGUUACCAAGGCAACAAAAAAAUAAGAGAUGUGCUGUUGAAAAAUUAAGGACACCUUCACAGGGUAUAAAGCAGACGCAGGAGGAGCUGUUAAAGGGUUUGUGUUAGCCUCCACUGCACUCAAAUUGUUAAAGAAAGCCCCUCCUCAAUCACUGAAUCACUCUUUAGUCAGUGUCAGUGUGUGUAAGCGUGCGCGUGUGUACUUGUACAUGUGCAAAUGUGUGUGUGUGAAAGUUUGAUAGUAGGCUUUAGGGCAGGGUUUUCACAGUGAUGACACAGAAAAAAU